GCCAGAGAAAUCGCUGGGUCUUGCCUAUCCACCCCUGAAAAGAAUGUUCUGGUUACGCCCCUGCAUACUCGGCCUUCACAUAUCACUUUCCACUUUCACUUUCAAUUAAAAGGUAAUAAAUGGUAGUGUUUAGAUUUGAGCUGCUCUGGUUAUUCUUCCCGCGCCAACAGGUGUGCCAAUAAGCGUGGCGGUCCUCCACACGUCAAACCCAGUAUAAAAACAGCGAGCGCAGGAGUGUAGAGUCAGACAGUCACUGAAAUCUCCUCAGCUGCUGACAGACACCAGGACCUUUUAUUUCUGCUCGACCUUUUCUUUAUAUAUUCAGUGUGAUUUUAACUCUGGAUUGUUCAUCUCUCUUCUGACAGUCUCUGUUGAUCCAGUCGGAGCUGUAAAGUGUCGUUCUGAUGAAUCAAAUUUGAUCAAAGAUGAGAUUCAGAUGGAGAAGAGAAAGAAAAUCACACAUCCAGAAAACUGCUGGAGCCUCAGAAAUCACAGAGCAGCAGAAAACAAGAAGACAGAGAGAGAAAUGGAGACACAAACCAGUGAAUCACAAGAGAGAAGAGGAGAGACACGUGAGAGACGUAGCAGUAUGGAGAGAGCAAGGCCAGACUUGUCAUGUGAUCCAGACGAGCCUGUAAAGAUUGAUUCUGAUGUCAAAACUGAGGAGAGAUCCUCUCAUCAAAAACCUUCAUCACUGACGACCUGAACAUCAUCAUCAUCUUCAUCAUGGUCUGUUCUCUCCUGUCUUCUGGAAUCUUCUACAGACUCAUCUGAGCUCAAACACUCUCAUCAAGAGCUUCUUUCUCAGGAGGUUUACACAACACCGUUUUCAACUGAAAGCUUCAUUUUGGCUGUUCAUUGGUGUUUUGGUGGCCUGAAAAUGCAAACUUUUGAAAACGGGUUUCAAAGUGCAAAUCUGUGAAAACGAUACCGUUAUCAUCUCCGUGUGAACUAAAAAACAUCCAUCUGUGAAAACAGUGACGUCAUGCACAUGCGUAUUACAUGUUUAAUCUAUCCACUGUCUAUCCAUCAACAAUAAGGAGUUUUCUGUGAAUGUUUGAGACUUCUGAUUUAUUAUCCGCUACAGGGAAAUAACCAGAAGAAUAUGAAGGAGCAGGAAACUGUAAAAAUAAGCUGGAUAGACGUGUGUGUUUGGAGUGAGUGUAAGAGAAUGUGUGUGUGAUCACCAAAUACUUGUCUGGCGUGUGUCAUACAGUGUUUUAGUCAUUUUUGAGGAUCCGUGUGAACGGAGAAAGUGUUGAUAAUGUUGUCAUCCGUAUAUAGAAAACACUUUUCUGUUUUUAGUACUGAACUCUCAUUGUUCUUCAUCUGCUGUAAAUGUUUCUCUGUCUCUGAUGAAGGUGAUUGAUGAUGAACUGUAUAUCAGACUGUCAGACAUUCAGACUCUCUCUCUCUCCUACAAACACUCAGUGUGUUCAGUUCACUGGAGCAGCAGGAGUUUGAUCGUCUGAAACUGAAGGAACGACACCAGAACAAGAAACUCCACACAGAAGUUUAAAUAAAUGUCUUUUAAGAGCCUCUGAAAAACAUCAAAAAUCUAUUUAUGAUUUAAAAGUGUGUUUAAUCAACAUCUCUAUAUCAAUAAAUCAAAUCCAGAUGUAUGAUUGUGAAGGAAUUGAUCAUUUCUCUAAUAAAGUGCAGUAUAGAGUGAGAUCAUACAGUGAAGUGUCUCCCUCUACUGGAGAUCAUCAGAGUUACAGAUCUACACUGAUAUUCACACUGACAUGAAAACACACACACA